CAGCAGCCGCGGUAAAACGAAGGGUGCAAGCGUUAAUCGGAAUUACUGGGCGUAAAGCGCGCGUAGGUGGUUUGGUAAGAUGGAUGUGAAAUCCCCGGGCUCAACCUGGGAACUGCAUCCAUAACUGCCUGACUAGAGUACGGUAGAGGGUGGUGGAAUUUCCUGUGUAGCGGUGAAAUGCGUAGAUAUAGGAAGGAACACCAGUGGCGAAGGCGACCACCUGGACUGAUACUGACACUGAGGUGCGAAAGCGUGGGGAGCAAACAGGAUUAGAUACCCCGGUAGUCCCUGUCUCUUAUAC
rnacentral:rRNA from 1 species